GAUAGAUAUUCAUCUUCCUGCACACAAAAUGUUUACCUUGCUACAAAAUAUACAACUAGAAGAAAAAGAAUUGUGUGCAGAGUUACCUACUGAUGGUCCUACAGUAUUUACGGAUGGCAGUGGAAAAACAGGAAAGGCAGUAGUAGUUUGGAAAGAAGGUCAGAAAAUGGGCCAAAGUGGAUUCCAACUAAAUGGA